AUGCUUUGCGACCGGACUACAGCUCCCGGCAUGCUCCGCGGCCGGACCACAGCGCCCAGCGUGUCCCGCGCUUGCAAGAUGGCGGCGCCCAGGGGUGGCUCGGGCCCGGACAGCGACAGCGGCUCGGACUCGGACAGCGGCGAGGAAGCGGCCGCGCGGUUCCGGGAGGCUGCCUGGGACUGCCCCGCGCUGGCGGCGGCGCGGGCGGAGCCGCACAGCGGGAGCUUUAGAAAGGAUCGGUUGCAGCCUAAAGAUCAGCCAAGCCUGAGGCGUGAGGCAAUCGGCCACCAGGAGGGUGACAAUGAGCUCCGGACAACUCCAGAGUUCAGAGCACACGUUGCAAAGAAACUGGGGACCAUGCUAGACAGUUUCAUCACUGUCUUGAAGGACUCUUCAGGACCAUCCCAGACUUCACUGGCACAGUCUGACUCUGAGGAUGAUGGUUUUCGCCUCUUCUCUUCCUCUGUCCCUGGAGACUGUGGGAAGCCAGAGCCUUGCCCUGCAGCGAGGAGGAGGAGGCCAGUUAGCUCCAGUGACACUGACAGUGACCAAGAGUGGCAGAGGUGCCAGGAGGCUGCUGUGUCAGCUGCAGAUAUUCUGAAGCAAAGUGCUUUCCCUGCAUUGUCCCAGGAUCAGAGUCAGGGCUCUGUAGAGCCCAACCAGAAAAAGAAGAAGAAGAAGAAGAAAAUUAGGAGAGAGAAUAAUAUUCAAGAGAAAAUAAUAGACCCAGCAGAGUGUGACCAGAUCUGCAAAGAUUUGCCUCGGCUGGUGUCUGCAAAUGGCCAGCAGGAGAGACAGAACAGCAAUCACAGAGAGAACUCUGUGCUGCCAGGAGCUGUGAAGAAGAAAAAGAAGAAGAAGAAAAAAGAAUGAUGAUUUUGCUCUGCAAACAGCAGGUGGUUGUGAUGGGUGAAGGAAACUGAAAGAAAACCUAACAACAGGAGUUGCUGCAGAUGAGGGAAAAUUAAUUGGCAAAGCGUCUGUUCUGCAAGCUCAGUGGCCUGAGAGACUAAUUAAGGGACUUCCUGUGCUCCUGUGUCCCCGAGAAGGGAACAUUGUUCUCCUCACACAGCAGUUGGCUGUGCUGCUGCUUAUGCAGGCCCAGUCUGAAAGGAUUAAAUGCUGUGCCAGACGUGCAUGGCAGAGGGACGUCAGAGCUGCAUUCCUCCUGCUCUGCCCCUUCACAUCUGAAACCCUUCUGCAGAAAGUGUGAGAUGAAUUCAAUUUGGUUUACAUGGCAACAGACAAACAGCUGUAAGGAAUCUUUAGUGAGAAUAAGCACCAAGAGGUUAAACAGUGGGACAAACCACCUUCAUAUCACUUUUAGAACACAGACAUAGAAGAUUUUCAGGACCUCGUGAAAGACUUAUUUUCUUCAGCAAGAGACCAGAAAGCCAGCAAAGUGGGAGAAGCCUUCAUUUCCCUGAGGUGGGUUCUGGAUUGCUGCUUUGGACCAGCCCCUGCUCAGGCAGAGGUUCAGAGCUGUGAAGUGCUCAGGACCAUCCCCAGCCCUUUCCUCUGGAGCUGCUGCACACCUCAGUGCAGAGGCAAGAUCUGCUCCGUGCCCAGAGCACCGCGUCCCCUCCCUGCAGGGCGUUAACAAAGCUCUAAUGGAUCCUGACGACUUUGAGUGGCUGAAAACGAAUGAGAAUCCCGAGUCCAUGUAAAAACAUUUGUUUGAAGAAAUGUUCAUGUGAACAUUAAUGUAAAGACAACUUCAGCUUCUAAAGAUGUUUUUGGGGUCAUACUCUUAAUAAAGAAUUGUGUUGGUUUUGCACCCAUCACAAGAGCAUUUAAAGAAUGGUGAGCAUUUUUGGCAUUGUCCUGCCAGUGUUGAUACUAUUUCCAUGCAUUUUAUUUGUUAUUACAGUUUUCCUUUAUUCCCUCCCCUCAGGUAGACAUGACAACAUUAGUGGCUGAUAACAGUAAUUUUCAAUUGUAAUUACAGUAUCCAACCAUGACAUACAGUUUCUGCAUGAUAUGUCCUUAUAAUUCCAGGAUUUUGCAAACAGACACAGCAGAUUGUGGAGCUCUUGCAAUAUGUGACAGAGGAGAUGCUGUCAUUGUGUGUUACUUUUUUCUGCUUCUCUUUGGCAUGGUGAUCUCUUUUACAUAAACCUAGGUGGAAAAUAUUAACACUGUUCUUAUUAAAAGGAUUGUCCAUAUUCUGUUGGUAUUAAACCUACUGAAUGUUUGAGGGCUGAUGGGGAAGUUUAAACAAAGAACAGCAAUAUUUGUCAGUGGAAGCUGUAAAGAGAAGAAAGCAUAACAACCAGUUAUGUCUAUAUUGUGUGGUUUCAAGGAUUCCUUAUGCACCCAGAAGUCCUGAUGCUGCUGCUGCUGUUGCCUUGAGGAUCUUCAGCUGUAGAAGCUUUUUUGAGACCAGUGACCUUUGAAGUCUAUAAAACCAGAAAUGCACAUCUGUUUGUAUGAUAGGACCUCCCUGAACGCUACAACUGGAUGCCAUGUGGAGAAUGCUUAGCUGAACAAGGAAACAUUUCAAAUGCUGAGGAGGAGGUAAAUAUUCUCCAUCACUUUAUCAUGAAAGGAUUUUUCCCUUGGUCUAUUGGAAUUGUCCAUUUUAAACUAUAGGAGCCUGGAUAAUUAGCAAAAAACCAAAUAAACUUACCCACUUUCAUCUUUCCAUUCAUUGGAACCUGCCAGGCUGUGCUAGUGAUUAGCUCAGCCCCACUAAAUAUUUCAGAGCCUCAGUGCAGGAAAACCAGUGAGCUUUUCAGUGUUUCUUAAAUGUUAGAAAUGUUAGUGGUCAGACUGAAAGGGAUUCCUGUUGUGAAUUAGCCAGCAUCCCUAUCCUAUAGCCUGGCACUAAGGAUUGCAAUAUCACAUUUCUCAGAUUUUAUUACAAGUGCAGUUCUGAGGUGAUGAGAGAACAGCAGAGGCCAAGGGUGGAAGCUAGAUUGUAGUUUUAUUGGAGGAAGAGCUCAGUUGCAGAGUGCCAUAAUCAGAAAAUGUUCUUCUGUAGCUGAAUUGUACUCAGGGAUUGUGCCUUGAGGAUGAAUAUUUGAAAUAAGGGAACUUGUGUUUCCUAUAUCCAUUUUUAUCUAUUACCAGUGCUUACUCUAUGUUGAUUUCCUUAAUUGUAACCAUUUCCAGGUUACAAUUGAUUGAUUCUCAAGUCACUCUGAUUAAAAUGAUCUUGGUCAUUGUAACAGGGGAAACUUAAAGUUUGAAGACACCAAGAGAUACCUGCUUGUUUUUCUCAUGUUUGCAGUAUUUGGUU